UACAGAGGGUGCAAGCGUUAAUCGGAAUUACUGGGCGUAAAGCGUGCGUAGGCGGUUGCGUAAGUCAGAUGUGAAAGCCCCGGGCUCAACCUGGGAAUUGCAUUUGAGACUGCGUAGCUAGGGUGCGGAAGAGGGAAGCGGAAUUUCCGGUGUAGCGGUGAAAUGCGUAGAUAUCGGAAGGAACAUCAGUGGCGAAAGCGGCUUCCUGGUCCAGCACCGACGUUCAGGCAC
rnacentral:rRNA from 1 species